ACCGUUCGGCGUGACUGGCGGAGCGCAGGCAAUUACCCUGUGUGGACUGCAUCCUGGAUCUGUCGUGGUUAGUUUCCCCGGCAAUCCAUUGCCGCAUUAGCGCAAAGCGUUCCCUAACCACGGGUAGCGUUGAACUGAACCGCCGACCGCCUGGGCACGCCCG
rnacentral:ncRNA from 10 species